rnacentral:rRNA from 1 species
AUUGAACGCUGGCGGCAGGCCUAACACAUGCAAGUCGAACGAGUGGCGGACGGGUGAGUAAUGUCUGGGAAACUGCCUGAGGGAGGGGGAUAACUACUGGAAACGGUAGCUAAUACCGCAUACCAUAAGAUGUGCCCAGCGGGGAUUAGCUAGUAGGUGGGGUAAUGGCUCACCUAGGCGACGAUCCCUAGCUGGUCUGAGAGGAUGACCAGCCACAGUGGAACUGAGACACGGUCCAGACUCCUAGGGGAGGCAGCAGUGGGGAAUAUUGCACAAUGGGCGCAAGCCUGAUGCAGCCAUGCCGCGUGUAUGAAGAAGGCUUUCGGGUUGUAAAGUACUUUCAGCGGUGAGGCGUUACCCGCAGAAGAAGCACCGGCUAACUCCGUGCCAGCAGCCGCGGUAAUUC